GACGAACGCUGGCGGCGUGCUUAACACAUGCAAGUCGAACGGGAAGGCCCUUCGGGGUACACGAGUGGCGAACGGGUGAGUAACACGUGGGUGAUCUGCCCUGCACUUCGGGAUAAGCCUGGGAAACUGGGUCUAAUACCGGAUAGGACCACUGCCUGCAUGGGUGGUGGUGGAAAGCUUUUGCGGUGUGGGAUGGGCCCGCGGCCUAUCAGCUUGUUGGUGGGGUGAUGGCCUACCAAGGCGACGACGGGUAGCCGGCCUGGGAGGGUGACCGGCCACACGGGGACUGAGAUACGGCCCAGAGUCCGACGGGAGGCAGCAGUGGGGAAUAUUGCACAAUGGGCGCAAGCCUGAUGCAGCAACGCCGCGUGAGGGAUGACGGACUUCGGGUUGUAAACCUCUUUCAGCACCGACGAAGCGCAAGUGACGGUAGGUGCAGAAGAAGGACCGGCCAACUACGUGCCAGCAGCCGCGGUAA
rnacentral:rRNA from 1 species